CUCAAUGAUCUUGAAGGUCUUGAAGGUCUCUUCCAACCUAGUAAUUCUGUGAUUCUGUGAAAUCUGUGAACCCUGCAAAGCUUCCACUUUCUUGUUAAAUCUAAGACAAUAAAAUUCUGCAAGGCCAGUGAUGGCUGUGCAAGCAAUACAGAAACCCAUUAACUAAGUCAAAUGAUCUGAUAAUAUCUGUUCUCUAACACUUUUCUCUUAUUGAGCACUGAAGUAAAGGUUCUAACAUCAGCCUGUUACUUUCCCUCAUAAAAUGGAAUAUGCUCUUCUGUAGUGUGAGAAAUUAUAUUAAAAUCAGAUCACUAAAAAACUCAGUUUCUAAUAUUAAAAACUACUUUGUCAGUUUGUUGUAUGUAUUACACUUUAGAUUUAUGCAGUGAUAGAACCUUUCUGCAUUAUGGUGUACCCGAAAAUAUAAAGAUAAAAGUUCAAUGGUUUCAUUGCAGACUUUAAUAGCACCUUAAGAAAUGUGUGUAUAUUUUAAUUUCUGUGUCAUUGGCUUUUAUAGGUGUCUGAAAAUUCUAUUACAAUUAUACAGAAUGACUCUUUUAAGCAGUGCACCUAAUUUGAUGCCUUUUAGUCACUGAUAGAGCCUAAACAUUUAAACUGACAUUCUGAUUUCUACAGCUCCAGCUGCUAAUUUUGACUCAAUGAAUAUGUGCCUGCUGCAGGUCGCCAUCACUCCUACAGAUGGAUACCAUUAAAAUGCUGUUUCUGUGAAAUGAGAACAAGAUAUACAAGACAGGUGAUCUUUUGAUUUAGCUCUCAGAACAAGAUCUUUGCUGAUGACAGAGCAGAUGGUCAGCUUUGCUGAACAGGAGAAUUAAAAUAACUAGAUAUAUUUUGGCAGAUGUUCACUACAGUCAUGCAUAGAUAAAUUUAAUUCUCAUGUUUUGUCUCAGUCAGGUUCUAGGUGUAAAGGAUGUUCAGUACAUCAUGUAUAGUGUGUUCUGAAACCUGAACCAUCACAACACUACAUUUUCUGGUACCACUACAGUGAAAGAAUUAUUUAUUUUGCUUUUAUCCAUCAGAAGACAUAAAGAUUGUUAAAAUCCUUAUUUAUUUUCUUAUGUUUUCUUUCUGCUUUCUUACAGAGGGAAAGUUUCUUACCAGGCAGAUAUAGUUUUUAGAAUAGGCUAUUAAUCUUUGGAGUAAAACCAGGAACAAUGUAGCACAAAUCUUCCAGCAAGGAAACACCUGGAUGUCAUGACUUCCUACAUAGACCAGCUCUACCAGGUGAAAACCAAUACUGUUAUGACACUGAAAGUUUGUGGAGACAACCAUCAGCAAGAAGCACCUGAACUGCUCACACUGUGAAGCACUCCAAACUGAAAAAGACAUGUAGUCUUCAAAAGGAAGGAAGGAAGGAAGCAAGGAAUAAAAUUAAUAGAUAAAUACAGCUAAAAAUGAAUUUCCUAUGUUAAGAAGUUGAAUGUUUUAAACCAGCUUGAAAAGGCUGAUCAAAAAUAUCUACAAUGGAGAAAUGCUUUCUUUUUAAAUACAGCCCACUUGAAAGAGACAGUGAGGACUGAAAGACAAAGGGUUAGGGCUUUUGCAGAACUAAUGAAACACCAGAUGGUUGGAUGGCACUGAACUUUAGAAGAUGAAUAAAGAGUAAUCGUGGAAAUGAUCAUCUGCCAUGUGAGCAAGUGAAGAAAUUUAGCUUUGUGCAGUGCAUCACCUAUGUACUUCCAUGUGGCCACCCACUGUUUUCUGUCUUCCUGUGGAAAAGCCAAGGCUGGCUGCAGUGCAAAGGAGCCAUCUGUAUCCACAAAGAAGCAGGAUUAAAUUCUGUAACGUAGAUCAAGCAGAGAUCACUCAGAGGCUGCUGCUGUACAUGAAGUCAGAAAUGAGUUUUUCAAGAAGCCAGCCCCACACAGGUGACUGUGCUAUGCACCUCAGUUUUUCAAGGAGCCUGUCUAUAAACCUUCUGAAUUGAGGAUAACUUUUCCUGACAGCUCUGUCCUGUAGUGGAAAUCAAUCACUCGUCUUGUGAGUCUGCUUGGACAUCUGGGAUGCCCAAGACAGGGUCCUUGACCUAUGUUUACAGGAACUGCCCUGAGACCAAGGCAGGUAGAGCAGCCAGCAGCAUGCUGUGUACUGGAUCCCAGCAUGAUGUGCAGUAAUGACCUGUCAGGGAAGCAGCCUGUGUACCACCACACUGUGAAAUAUCCUGGGGGACUCUCUUGAUGAAUUUGGCAUGCCCUAAGGCAAGAAUGAAAUCACACAUCAUUUAAAUAUUGUUUCAUACUUUUCUUUUAGGGUGUCUCAUCCCUUUCUUUGGUCUGUUCAAAUAUAUAUCUCUGAAAAUUUGCAAAAUAAAGAGAAAGCCCUGAAAAGCCCAUUCCAACCUUCCCACAGAAGUGCUGUGUCUUGGAGGUUGCUGAUUUUUUCACCCUUUUAUCUCAACAGGUUUUUGAAAAGGCAUACAGAAAGAAUUUUUUUUCUGGCUAAUAUCUGAUUACUUUAAACAAGAAUUUAUUACUUUGUAUUAUUGUCUUCAAAAUGUGGCAUCCAUUUUCAAGGAGUAUGUGUUGAUGGGGAAGCAACUUGGAAACAGUCUUGGUGAAGAAAGGAAGUUUAAUUUCAUGCCCUCAGUGCAAUAAGAUGGUGCACAACACAAAACCAGUGAAAUCUCCACUGGAGGUAACAAUAAACCCUGAAUCCUUUAUUUGCCAA